rnacentral:rRNA from 1 species
UACGUAGGGAGCAAGCGUUGUCCGGAAUCAUUGGGCGUAAAGCGCGCGUAGGCGGCCUCAUAAGUCCGUUGUGAAAGUCAAAGGCUCAACCUUUGAAAGCCGAUGGAUACUGUGAGGCUAGAGUCCGGAAGAGGCGAGUGGAAUUCCUGGUGUAGCGGUGAAAUGCGCAGAUAUCAGGAGGAACACCGAUGGCGAAGGCAGGUCUCUGGGCCACUACUGACGCUGAGAAGCGAAAGCAUGGGGAGCGAACAGG